UCCCUGGUGGCUCAACUGGUAAAGAAUCUGUCUGCAAUGCAGGAGGCCUGGGUUCGAUCCCUGGGUUGGGAA
rnacentral:tRNA from 1 species